CCGGCGACGGCAUCCUGUCGCUGAGAAGCUGAUCAAACUUGGUCGUUUAGAGGAAGUAAAAGUCGUAACAAGGUUUCCGUAGGUGAACCUGCGGAAGGAUCAUUAAAGAAAUAAUCUCGAGGGCCGAUGGAAAGGAGAGAGGGUUGUAGCUGGCGUAAGCACGUGCACGCCCUCUUUCUCGACCUAGGUCCUUAUGGGCGCGGGGCGACCCGCGUCUUCAUAAGCCCCUUCGUGUAGAAAGUCUAUGAAUGUUUUUAUUAUCAUCGACUCGCGACUUCUAGGAGACGCGAUUCUUUGAGACAAAAGUUAUUACAACUUUCAGCAAUGGAUCUCUUGGCUCUCGCAUCGAUGAAGAACGCAGCGAAUCGCGAUAUGUAAUGUGAAUUGCAGAUCUACAGUGAAUCAUCGAAUCUUUGAACGCACCUUGCGCUUAUCGGUGUUCCGAUGAGCAUGCCUGUUUGAGCGUCAUUAAAUUCUCAACCCCUCUCGAUUUGCUUCGAGAGGGUGCUUGGAUAGUGGAGGCUGCCGGAGACCUGUUUUUUCAGGACUCGGGCUCCUCUGAAAUGUAUUGGCUUGCGGUCGACUUUCGACUGUGCAUGACAAGGCCUUUGGCGUGAUAAUGAUCGCCGCUCGCCGAAGUGCACGAACGAAUGGUCUCGUGCCCCUAAUCAGUCGAUNNCUUUUCGAAGGCGUCUUCCUNAUUGACGUUGACCUCAAAUCA
rnacentral:rRNA from 1 species